rnacentral:rRNA from 1 species
UACAGAGGGGGCAAGCGUUAUUCGGAAUUAUUGGGCGUAAAGGGCGCGUAGGCGGCCUUUCAAGUGACGGGUGAAAUCCCUCGGCUUAACCGAGGAACUGCCUGUCAGACUGGAAGGCUUGAGACCGGGAGAGGUGAGUGGAAUUCCCAGUGUAGCGGUGAAAUGCGUAGAUAUUGGGAGGAACACCAGUGGCGAAGGCGGCUCACUGGACCGGAACUGACGCUGAGGCGCGAAAGCGUGGGGAGCAAGCAGG